UGAUCCCGGAAGUGUCAGCUGGUGUCAUGUGAUGGUUCCUUCUGGCAGCCUGCCUGAGGAGCGAUGUGAAAAAUAAGAGUGUGUUUGUGAGGAGGGCUUCCGGACUACGAGGUUUGGCCGCAGAAGAAGCGAUCCAGGAUGCAGAACGUCAUAAACACGGUGAAGGGGACAGCGCUGGGAGUGGCCGAGUUCCUCACUCCCGUGUUGAAGGAAUCUAAGUUCAAAGAGACUGGAGUCAUUACCCCAGAGGAGUUUGUUGCAGCCGGAGAUCACCUGGUUCAUCACUGCCCCACGUGGAAGUGGUGAGUGGCUGACCCCUGAUUGCUCUGAUCAAGCAGGUCCAGAGGUUUUGUUUGCACUGAUAGAGCCGUGCGCUGCACGGCGCUGCACGGUAGGAAGGAGCUAGGCUCCUGUGUCUGAUGCUGAGUGAAGCGUCUCUCUGUCAGCACUAAACUUCACGUUUAGGAUCGU